AGUGAUUAUCCUUUUAGUUCACAUCAGAUACCUAGUGGGUUUCUCGUCCAAAAGUCAUCCUUAGGCCUUACCUACAUAAGCACCCCUUUCAAAUUACUGCCCUUGCAGUUGCUUCCAACAAUUGAUUUUAACUUUCUGAUUAUUGUUUGAUAGACAAACAAUAUGGACGCCCUGAAGGAGUUUCAACAUCUUAAAAUCGUUCUGAAUGAUAUAAGGUCAGCCACUGCCAAUUUUCAUGUGUGGAAGGUUAUUGGAGAAGGUGGAUUCGGGAAGGUAUACAAAGCACUACUCUCUUACUCCGAGGGACGAAACCAGGUUGCCUGUAAGCGUCUAGAUCCAGAUCGUACACAUGGACAAGGAGACGCCGAGUUCUGGAAAGAGAUCCUGCUGCUUUCCCGUUACAAACAUAAGAAUCUCAUCUCUCUGUUGGGAUUUUGCAGCGAAGAGGGUGAGAGGAUCCUUGUGUACGAACUUGCAUCUCAUGGAAGCCUCGAUAAGCAUUUGAGUAGCUCCACUCUUAGUUGGAGGCAACGUUUCAACAUAUGCCUCACAGCCGCAAAGGGACUGUGCUACCUUCAUGAUCCCAAUGGAACACAACAAAGAGUUAUCCACAGGGACAUAAAAAGUAACAAUAUUCUACUGUUUGAAGAGUUAUCCACGUCUCACCAUGAGAGCUGGCAUGCUAAAAUUGGUGACCUGGGACUAUCGAAAUUAGGACCUGCUAAUCAAUCGCACAGUUUUGCUCCCACCAAUGCUGUAGGUACCGAUGGUUACAUAGAUCCAACAUUUGAGAAUACAGCCACCUUAACAAAAGAGUCGGACGUCUACUCUUUUGGGGUGGUCUUAUUCGAAGUGUUUUGUGGGAAACUAUGUGGAGAUUAUAGUAGUGGUCGUUUUGAGAAUUUAGUGCCAAAAUGGAAACUUAGCUGUAAAGAGGUGAAAUCAGAUGAUAUUAUAUUUCGUGAAUUGAAAUAUGACAUAGAUCCGAGUUCAAUGAAAACAUUUUUAGACAUUGCCUACCGAUGCUUGGAGGAAUCCCGUGAAAACCGGCCUAAGAUGUCUGAGGUUGUGGAAGAACUUGAUAUUGCGCUUAGGUUACAAGAGAUCUAUGACGAGGGGGAGCCACCAAUAGACUAUGAAGAGAUAAGUAAGACUGCGACACCUUGUCUGGUAUACAAAUCUGAAGAGGAACUUAAGAUGCUUCUCUCCAAAGGAGUCUUUUUGAACAGUGGCAAAACGUGGUUUUUGUUAAAUGCUGAUGGAGAACACUGUGAAAUGAUAUCCUCACAAGGUUGUUUAAUACCUAUUGAGUAUCUAUCUUCUGUCUAUGGAAAGAAAUCAAGAUUUGCAGUGGACUACCGUUAUGGUGCCUAUUUUUGUGAUGAAUCCAAAAUGCAUCUGAGAGCACAAUUUUUGUCACCACAUGUCACAUACACAAUAAAUCUUGUGUUCGAUUUUUACGACACAACGUUGGACAAUUUAGGCAUCCAUUACAAAUUGGCUGGGGAGAAAAAAUCCUUUACUUCAUACUUAGUAGACGAGGGAGAAGAUGGAUGGUUGAUUUCUGAACUGUUUCAGUUUACUAGCCACAGAAGACAACUUGAUCUUGAAAUUACAUUUGAGUGCAAAAAUGCAAUUGUAGUAGACGCCAUUGAGUUUCGGCCCCUUGAGAGAGUGGAGCAUCAACUGUUAGAGAAUGAGGAAGUGGAUAUGCCAGAAACAUAUUGGGAACAAAAAUUACCAAGUGAUUAUGAAGAUAUCAUCAAAUGGUCGAAAUAUAAUGUGCAGCAAGCAACAAAGAAGGAACUCUACUCUAUUCUUUGCCAAGGGUUCCUAAUCAACAAUGGUGAAGAGUGUUUUUCUCUAGCAAAAAAUGGAAAGAAAUGCCAUAUGCUACCAGCAAGCAUGGCUUUGCAAGAAUAUGAGUGGAGAUGGAGGUUUUCACCUGAUGAUUCAAGGUGUAUCAUGAAACUUGGAUGUAUGGACUACCAUGGGCUAGCAGUGAAUAUGUACAUAACCUCAAGAAGUUUCUUAAAGUUGUUGAGGAUCGUCGGGUGCAUAGAGGAGAAUGUUACAUUUGGUGUCCUUGUAAAAUGUACCAAAAUUGUAAAAAGGUCUAUGAUUUGGAUGUAAUAGAAGAAUAUAUGAUAUGUGAAGGAUUUAUGAAUCAAUAUACGUGUUGAUCACAACAUGGCGAGUUAUUGAUUGAUCACAACACAAUUAAUGUCGAAUCUAAUUAUGAUGAUACAGAUGAUUCAGAGGAUGACAUCCAUGAUAACCUACCUCCAUUUUCUAUCGGUAUUCCAUCUAUGAAUGUUGAUAUUAAUGACGCUGCUUACUUAAGAUCGGACCAUAACGAAGGAUCAUAUGUUGAAGAAAGCAACACAGACGACACGACACUGGAGGACAAUAACAGUGAUAAUUGCAGUUGAUGUUCUUCAUGGGGAGAUUUACUAUGAUUGCAUUAUGAAAAACUUGUGUAGUAUCAACAUGAUGCGAGGAUAAAAACUAUGUUGAGUUUUUGAUGUUUAUGUCACAUGUAAUAUGUUCUAUAUUAUACAAAGUCAUGUUUUAGUGAUGAACAUUAAUCUUUGUUCAUCACUAAAUGCUCAAUUGCUCAUCACCUUCAUUUCCCCUUCUUCCUUUUAUGAAUUCAAAGAGAAAAAUAUAAUAUUGAUAUAAUUAUUUGAUAAAUAUAUUUAAUUAUUUUACUUUUUAAUAUGUUCAUUUUAAUUUUUAAUAUGUUCAUCUUGGUUCGGCAUCAAUUUUUUUCACAUGAUAUUAAUAUAUUGAAAUUGCAAUUACAUUCCCUUUUAUUAAACAAGAAACAAAAGAAAAAAAAAUAGAAUUUUUUUUGUCCUUUUUACAUAUAUAUGAACGUGAAUCCCAUUUUUCUUUUAUAUGGAUUUGUAUAUUGAAGGGGCCCAUCAGUAGCCCAUAUGAGCACAUAUUCAAUUCAUCAUCGGUCAAAAGUAAAAAUUGCAAACUUAACAAAAUUGACCCAAAAGUCAAAAUUGCAAUUACGUUCCCUUUUGCGUGUACUUGUUUGCUUAUCACGAGAACGACGAAGCCUUCGCCUUCAGCCGACGACGCCUCCGCAUCCGCCUCUGGCCAACGACGCCUCUGCCUCCGGUCUUCGGUCGAAGACACAGACGAAGUCUCCUACUCCGCCCUACAGCCGCUUCCGCCUCCUCCUUUCACGUUGUUUACAGGCUGUCAGUUUGAGCAGCACUGCAACCAGGUUGGCACUUGAGGUUUCCUUUAUUAAAUCGGGUAUGAAAUUAUCACAUUUUUUAUUCCCUUGUGAAAUGAUUUUGUUUGUGUUGUGAUACAAAUUAUCCCCAGGUUGAACAUCAUCAAUUCCAAUUGAGAAUCCACCGAGCACUGCAUCAAAAUAAUCUCAUCAUACACUUUCACCAAACAUCUAUUCAGAGCUCACAACUUCUCCUAUAGCAGCAGCCUCACUUGGGCAGGAACUUAGGAUUGGCUCUUUGACGUUUUCCUCAGGACCAAAAGAUUCAGAGACUAUUCCAAUCUCAUACGUAUAUAAUCCUUUUAGUGCAAUCAACAAUUGUCUGAUUGGAGUGUGGUUACUACGUUAUGAACUGGAUGCAUGAGUUUGUACUUUUUCGACAACAUGGAUUUCCGAAUAACAUUUGGAAGGACAAAAACCCAUUUUCUAGUGAGGAAUUGGAUGAACGUGUUAAAACAUGGAUGAGAACUUUUGAAGAUAAAGUGAAGUCUUUUUCAAGUUAACGGUUAGUUGUUCUAUAUACAUUGUUAUAAUUGGUUAUGUUUUUCAAAAAACCAUUUUCUAGUGAGGAAUUGGACGAAAGUUUUUAUGGAAAAUGUGAUAUAUAAAAGUAGGAUGCUAUAUUUUGUGUUUUAUUGUGGAAGUUUGCAGAUUUCGAGUUAAGGAGGUUGCUGUUAUGGAGGUACACAAACAUCCCUUGUAUUUCAUGUUGUAUUUGCUCAUAUUUUUUAUGUUGUGGAGAAGUUUUCACCCUUACAUUGCUAUAGAUGAAGGUGUUAAUGGCAGGAAUGUCCAUUAAUUUGAGUUUUCUUCAUUAAAAGUUAUUUGAGAUUUUGAAUCCUAAGUUUUCUUGUUUUUAUAGGCAUACACUGAAUUAGCCACAAAGGGGAAAGAGAGGUCAGAUGUGUGACAUUAACAAAUUUAAGAAUGUUUUUAUGUUUAAUGAACUAGGUAUAUUAAUUUUUUUUUUCUGUUUUUUAAAAUUAAAACAUGAUCAGUGAUGCCCCACUUCUUAUGGUUGGAAUGGAAUCAUAUAGUAGGUUUGUAUUUUAUGGAGAUUGAUCAAUUGGUUACAAUUCACAUGCUAAAAGCUUUGCAGAAAUUAAAGAGUUUGUUUUAGUUAGAAUAGUUGGAAUGAUGAUCCAUGUGUUCCACAGCAUCCAUGGAGUGGAAUUGGCUGAUUAAUAAGGCUGGAAUGCAAAGCCAGAAUGGGCUGGAAAGUCUGGAAUGCAAAGCUAGGAAUAGGAAUGAAUAAGACAUCAAGUACAGUUGUUUAUUGGUGUAUUAGAUGUGUAUAUAUGGCGUAUUAGAUGAUACUUGAGACAUCAAGUACGGUUGUUUUGGUGUAUUAGAUGUUUAUAUAUGGUGUACUAGAUGAUUGUAUGUAAUGAUUGUAUGGGAUGGUAUAAGAUACAUAUAAUACGGUUAAAUAGCCGUACUUUAUUAUGCA